GUGUUGGAAAACACGUGACAACCAUGCGUUUGGCCUCGACCUGGUGUCAAAUGCGUCAAAUGGUUGAGUUUUUGCCGCUAGGCUACGAACCUUGUUAAGUUGUUAUUGGCUGGCUGGAAUGCGCUACUGUUCGUCUGUUUUUUUUGCCCAUCUACUCACCCAGAUUACAACUUCAAAUGGCCAAUGAAAUAGCAAAAAGUUCCAUUCUCGGUUUAUCCGGAUUUCAUCCCAUUUGUCAUGAUUUUACUCCGAAAUUUUUUGGCGCCAUUAUGUCGCCAUUUUAAAAAAAAUGGCGGUGGCCAGACCCAGCUAACCCAGAAAAAUCUUUCCAACCCACCCAACUUGGAAAUUAGUUCAUCGGAUCGCCCAAAAUUGGCAACUUUUGGCGAUAAUUCAUUAGUUACCCGUUUUUUUCUUACCAAAUCGAGGCCAGGCUCCAACUGCAAGCCCUUUUCAUUAACCAUUAAUGAAUAUGAAGAACAACGCCGAAAUUAAUACAAUUGUAUUGAGUACGAGAUAACCACAAUUUUCAACUUUCAGUACACACUCACAGUCAAACAGCCACACAUAAGUACACACUGGUAGGAAUACAUCAUGCGUCAACAAUCUCAACAUUCAUGUGACAACAUAUUUAUACAUAAAUAUAUACUGUAUAUAUAUAUAUAUCAAUUCAUCAUACGAAUCAAUGCCUCCAGUCGAGGAAUUUUCAACUGAUUGACGCCAUUUUUUUAAACGUCAGUUUCUUGUUUGAUAUGCAUUAAUGAAUCAAUAAAAUGGAAAUGAACCUACAGGAUUGGAUCACGAAAGCGGAGCUAGUACAGAGGCGCCUUUUUUUUUUCUUCAUCAAUCGAAUAAGCUCUAGAUUUAAAUUUCAAAAUAAAAUUGUUUCAGCCGUUAAUCGCGUUAUUUGAAAAAUCGUGAGACCUGACUAUGACCUCUUGGUUCUUUGAACACCACACGGAGUUCAAAUAAUUAGUAAACAAAAAAUUAAUUAAGAAAAAAAAA